AACAAACUGAGGGGGUGAAAAAAAAACUUGUUUCAAGUCACGUGAUUGUAAUGACGCGCGAAAUUCAGAUAGAGGAAAGGACAUAGAAACUGAAUGGAAGACUAGAGCAAAGUCCGCAUUGUUGCGAUGUAGAGCAUAUUGUCCGGGAGUAGCUUUUUUUAUCAUGUCAAUUAACCCAGCUACAUUCGAGGCUAUGCCGCGCCUCUCGUUAACGGUUGUUUACUCUACUACUCCGCCUAAACGCCACAAAUGGAUUAUUGCAAAACAAGAUGGAGACGUCAUUGCAGCUUAUUGAUUGCACGGCAGAGUAAGCUUUCCACCAGAAGAUGGACGUUAUCUGAGCACCCAGUUCCUGCGAUGGUUUUGAAGUCGACUGCUUACAGUACAAGCAGUAUCCUCACGUCUCAGAGGCUGCACCAGAGCUCCCUGGGAGUUUAGAGGCAGCGUUUGUUUGAAGAGCAGUAGAGAGGAGCGUCAUCCAGGGAGGUUUACAGAGGAGGGGGGCUUGUGGAAGCUGGUCACCCAGGCUGGAUGGAUGUUCUGUCAGCCUGCUUCUGUGAUGUGCCGCCCUAUCUGAAAGGCCCUGAUGGGGAGAUAGAAAGACUAUCAACUGGCUGGAGCUUCAAAGUCCAACUAGCUGGUCUGAUCCUCAAGACGAGGCCAGAUAUGUGAAGGAGAGAAUAGGAUGUAUGAUGUGACAAAUGGAAAUGACAAAGAGGAAGAGGUGGGUGUGUUAAUGGGGUGGUUCAGGAAAAAUGUAUAUAUAUACAGUUGAAGUUAGAAUUAUAAGCCCCCUAUAGUUUUUUCCCUGAUUUCUUUUUAACAGAGGGCAGAUUUUUUCCAACACAUUUGUAAACAUAAUUGUAAUAACUAGUGCAUAUUAACUGAUUACUUUUUAUCUUAGCCAUGUUGACGGUACAUAAUAUUUUACAAAAUAUUUUUCAAAAUACUAGUAUUCAGCUUAAAGUGUAACUAUGUUAUUUAGGCAAGUUAGAGUAGUUAGGCUAGUCAUUGUAUAACAGGUUUGUUCUUUAGACAAUCAGGGAAAAAAAUAUUGCUUAAUAAGUGGGAGUUUGGACCCUCUGGGGCGGCGCUUGGUGAUUUAAAAAAGUGAAAUAAAUUUUAUUCUACUAUUAGAAUUACAAUAUUUUAACUAUAACCCAGAGAAGAUAAAAAUAGUAGUUUUUAAAAGUAAAAUAACUAACACACUCUGUUCACAUACUGUUUAAAAACUAAUCCUAAUGAGUGCUGUGAACCUAAUCAAUUUGAGUAAACUUGAGCACAGUAAAACCCAAUAAAUAAUGAAAACUCAAACCAACUGAGUACUGUAAACCCAAUAAGUUAAGGCAACUCAAACUGAUUGCCAAAAACCAUUUGAGUUAAAAAACUAUUCUGUAUGAGUACUGUGAACUUACUCCAUUUAACUUUUACUCCAUUUGAAGUAAUGAGGUAUUUAAUUAACUAAAAUUUCUGACACCUUUAUGGCAAUCAAAUACAUAAAAAAUAAUUGCGGGCCACAACUGAACAUUAAAGAUGAUUUCUGAUUAGCAGUCUCCAAAAUUAAAACCAAAAAUAAACUUGUGCUGAAAACAUUGUGUCCAC
ensembl:lincRNA